CACGUAGGAGGCAAACGUUAUCCGGAUUUACUGGGCGUAAAGCGCGUGUAGGUGGUAUGGUAAGUAGGGCGUGAAAGCUCCUGGCUCAACUAGGAGAGGCCGUUCUAAACUACCGUACUCGAGUUUGGCAGAGGAAGAUGGAAUUCCAGGUGUAGCGGUAAAAUGCGCAGAUAUCUGGAGGAACACCAGUGGCGAAAGCGAUCUUCUGGGCCAAUACUGACACUCAGACGCGAAAGCUAGGGUAGCAAACGGG
rnacentral:rRNA from 1 species